rnacentral:rRNA from 1 species
CAGUAGCCGCGGGAAUACGAAGGGGGCUAGCGUUGUUCGGAAUUACUGGGCGUAAAGCGCACGUAGGCGGACAUUUAAGUCAGGGGUGAAAUCCCGGGGCUCAACCCCGGAACUGCCUUUGAUACUGGAAGUCUUGAGUAUGGUAGAGGUGAGUGGAAUUCCGAGUGUAGAGGUGAAAUUCGUAGAUAUUCGGAGGAACACCAGUGGCGAAGGCGGCUCACUGGACCAUUACUGACGCUGAGGUGCGAAAGCGUGGGGAGCAAACAGGAUUAGAUACCCCGGUAGUCCCUGUCUCUUAUAA